rnacentral:rRNA from 1 species
UCAAGCGAACAAGGGCGCAGGGCGAAUGCCUUGGCACUGGGAGCCGAUGAAAGACGUGAUAAGCUGCGAUAAGCUUCGGGGAGCUGCAAAUAAGCAUUGAUCCGGAGAUUUCUGAAUGAGGAAACUCACCUGGGUUCAUACUCAGGUACGUUAUACUGAACUUAAAAAUAGGUAUAUCGAGGGAACCGCCUGAACUGAAACAUCUAAGUAGGGCGAGGAAGAGACAUCAAACGAGAUUCCGUAAGUAGUGGCGAGCGAACGCGGAAGAGGGCAAACCGGGAGUAGAAAUACUUCCGGGGUACGGACCGCAUUUAGGACUUGAGUUGUUAACCGAACGGCAUGGGAAGGCCGGUCAGAGAGUGUGAGAACCACGUAGGUGAAAACGACAAGAGCUGAGCGAGUUCCAGAGUACGGCCAGACACGUGAAACCUGGUCGGAAUACGGGGGGACCACCCUCCAACCCUAAAUACUACCCAGUGACCGAUAGCGUAUAGUACUGUGAAGGAAAGGUGAAAAGCACCCCGGGAGGGGAGUGAAAAAGAACCUGAAACCCUGUGCCUACAAGCACCUAGAGCACGUCAAUGUGUGAUAGGGUACUUUUUGUAGAACGGUCCGGCGAGCGAUUGUAUGCAGCAAGGUUAAGGACUUAAGGUCUGGAGCCGAAGCGAAAGCGAGUUUGAAAAGGGCGUUAAGUUGCAUACAAUGGGCCCGAAACCGGGUGACCUACCCAUGGUCAGGUUGAAGUGGAAGUAAAAUUCCAUGGAGGACCGAACCGACCUCCGUUGAAAAGGCGGCGGAUGAACUGUGGGUAGCGGAGAAAUUCCAAUCGAACCCGGAGAUAGCUGGUUCUCCCCGAAAUAGUUUUAGGACUAGCCUCAAGUUAGAUACCUGGAGGUAAAGCACUGAAUAGCCUAGCGGCCGAGAGGUUAGCGAAGCUUAUCAAACUCAGAAUGCCAGAGUAUUGAUGCUUGGGAGUCAGACAGUGUCAGAUAAAUGUCAUUGUCAAAAGGGAAACAGCCCAGAUCUACAGCUAAGGUCCCAAAGUCAGGUUAAGUGGAAAACGAUGUGAAGAUACGUAGACAACCAGGAUGUUGGCUCAGAAGCAGCCACACAUUCAAAGAGUGCGUAAUAGCUCACUGGUCGAGCGUCUUUGCGCGGAGAAUUUAACGGGGCUAAACCUGACACCGAAGCUUAGGCAAUACAGCAAUGUAUUGGGUAGGGGAGCGUUGUAUACGCGGUGAAACAGUAGCGCAAGCGGCUGUGGAGUGUAUAGAAGUGAGAAUGCCGGAAUGAGUAGCGCGAAUGCAGUGAGAAUCUGCAUGGCCGAAAGCCUCAGGUUUCUGGAGGAAGGUUCGUCCGCUCCAGGUUAGUCGGGAGCUAAGGUGAGGCCUAACGGCGUAGCCGAUGCACAGACGGUAGAGAUUCCGUCACCACCAAAAGAGUUAAACACAGGGACACAUUUGAAGUCUCGGAGCCGGGUGUUGGUUCCGGUAGCGAUCGAGGGAAGUUAGUACCGAAGUCCGGGAUGGAAGAUGGCGAGAAAAGCUGUGUGUAUUUCUGCGGUGCCCGUACCGCAAACCGACACAGGUAGGUAGGAAGAAGAUUCUAAGGCCAACGGGAGAAGGGUUGUUAAGGAACUCGGCAAAUUGACCCCGUAACUUCGGGAGAAGGGGUGCUCCAGAGAUGGAGCCGCAGAGAAUCGGCCCAAGCAACUGUUUACCAAAAACACAGGUUUGUGCUAAAUCGAAAGAUGACGUAUACGAGCUGACGCCUGCCCGGUGCUGGAAGGUUAAGAGGAGAUGUGCAAGCAUUGAAUCGAAGCCCCAGUGAACGGCGGCCGUAACUAUAACGGUCCUAAGGUAGCGAAAUUCCUUGUCAGGUAAGUUCUGACCCGCACGAAAGGCGUAAUGAUUUGGGCACUGUCUCAACAGCCCGCCCGGCGAAAUUGUAGUACCGGUGAAGAUGCCGGUUACCCGCGACAAGACGGAAAGACCCCAUGGAGCUUUACUGUAGCCUAAUAUUGGGUUUCGAUGUUGCAUGCACAGGAUAGAUGGGACACAGGGAAACAAGUGCUUUGGCAUUUGUGGAGUGGCCGUUGGGAUACCAUCCUUGCGAUAUUGGAAUUCUAACCUGCGCCUUUGAAUCAAGGCGGGGGACAUUGUUAGGUGGGCAGUUUGACUGGGGCGGUCGCCUCCUAAAGAGUAACGGAGGCGUUCAAAGGUUCGCUCAGCUUGAACGGAAAUCAAGCAAAAGAGUGCAAACGCAGAAGCGAGCCUAACUGCGAGACUGACGGGUCGAGCAGUAACGAAAGUUGGAGUUAGUGAUCCGGUGGUAUGUGAGUGGAAAUGCCAUCGCUCAACGGAUAAAAGCUACCCUGGGGAUAACAGGCUGAUCUCCCCCAAGAGUCCACAUCGACGGGGAGGUUUGGCACCUCGAUGUCGGCUCAUCGCAUCCUGGGGCUGUAUUCGGUCCCAAGGGUUUGGCUGUUCGCCAAUUAAAGCGGUACGCGAGCUGGGUUCAGAACGUCGUGAGACAGUUCGGUCCCUAUCUGUCGUG